GACGAACGCUGGCGGCGUGCUUAACACAUGCAAGUCGAACGAAAGGAGGGAAAGAGCUUGCUCUUUCCGGAAUUGAGUGGCAAACGGGUGAGUAACACGUAAACAACCUGCCUUCAGGAUGGGGACAACAGACGGAAACGACUGCUAAUACCGAAUAAGUUCCAAGGGCCGCAUGGCCCAUGGAAGAAAAGGUGGCCUCUACCUGUAAGCUAUCGCCUGAAGAGGGGUUUGCGUCUGAUUAGCUGGUUGGAGGGGUAACGGCCCACCAAGGCGACGAUCAGUAGCCGGUCUGAGAGGAUGAACGGCCACACUGGAACUGAGACACGGUCCAGACUCCUACGGGAGGCAGCAGUGGGGAAUCUUCCGCAAUGGGCGAAAGCCUGACGGAGCAACGCCGCGUGAGUGAUGACGGCCUUCGGGUUGUAAAACUCUGUGAUCCGGGACGAAAAGGCAGAGUGCGAAGAACAAACUGCAUUGACGGUACCGGAAAAGCAAGCCACGGCUAACUACGU
rnacentral:rRNA from 1 species